UUGUUAAGCAAAAAAAGUUAAUAAAUAAUGUACAAUAUAUGAUAUCCCAUCAUGAUAAACAAGCAAAAAUGUUGUAGCAUAAUAAUACAGGGUGCGGCAGGGAAAUGGGCGAUUAUGAAUAAUGUUUUUUUUGCUUAUACAAAUGUAUUUACCAUUUUGUGGAUACACACACAUAAACUACAUGAAAUGCCAUUGGUGAAAAUGUUUUUGUUUCAAAAAAGCAGUUGUUCAAAAUGCAAUUUCUAUGUCCUAAAAAUCACGUCUUCUAAAUGUCCUCCAAUUUCUUCUGAGGCAAUCAUG
rnacentral:lncRNA from 1 species